rnacentral:rRNA from 1 species
CCUACGGUGGCAGCAGUGGGGGAUAUUGCACAAUGGGGGAAACCCUGAUGCAGCCAUGCCGCGUGUAUGAAGAAGGCUUUCGGGUUGUAAAGUACUUUCGGUAAUGAGGAAGGUGUAUUAUCUAACAGGUAAUGCAAUUGACGUUAGUUACAGAAGAAGCACCGGCUAACUCCGUGCCAGCAGCCGCGGUAAUACGGAGGGUGCGAGCGUUAAUCGGAAUAACUGGGCGUAAAGGGCAUGCAGGCGGGUCAUUAAGUUAGGUGUGAAAUCCCCGGGCUCAACCUGGGAACUGCACUUAAAACUGGUGGUCUGGAGUAUUGUAGAGGAAGGUAGAAUUCCACGUGUAGCGGUGAAAUGCGUAGAGAUGUGGAGGAAUACCGGUGGCGAAGGCGGCCUUCUGGACAAAUACUGACGCUGAGAUGCGAAAGCGUGGGGAGCAAACAGGAUUAGAUACCCCUGUAGUC